rnacentral:rRNA from 1 species
GACAGAGGUGCCAAGCGUUAGGCGGAAUCACUGGGCUUAAAGCGUGUGUAGGCGGACCGUUAAGUACCUUGUGAAAUCCCCCGGCUCAACCGGGGAACUGCUGGGUAUACUGGCGGUCUUGGGCCACUCAGGGGCAGAUGGAACAGACGGUGGAGCGGUGAAAUGCGUAGAUAUCGGGAGGAACAUCAGUGGCGAAGGCGGCUGCCUGGCCCAAUACUGACACUCAGGUGCGACAGCGUGGGGAGCAAACAGG